GACGAACGCUGGCGGCGUGCUUAACACAUGCAAGUCGAACGAAGUGGCGAACGGGUGAGUAAUACGUGGGUAACCUGCCCUCCUUUUUGGGAUAAGCCUUGGAAACGGGGUCUAAUACCGAAUAAAGGGGGAUGGGCUCGCGGCCUAUCAGCUUGUUGGUGGGGUGAUGGCCUACCAAGGCGGUGACGGGUAGCCGGCCUGGGAGGGUGACCGGCCAAGUUGGGACUGGGAUACGGCACAGACUCCUACGGGAGGCUGCAGUGGGUGAUAUUGCACAAUGGGCGAAAGCCUGACCCAGCAACGCCGGGUGAAGGAAGACGGUCUUCGGAUUGUAAGCUUCUUGAGACAGGGACGGUACCUGUAGAAUAAGCCACGGCUAACUACGUGCCAGCCGCCGCGGUAAUAC
rnacentral:rRNA from 1 species